rnacentral:rRNA from 1 species
UACGUAGGGUGCAAGCGUUGUUCGGAAUUACUGGGCGUAAAGGGUUUGUAGGCUGGGAUAUAAGUCAAGUGUGAAAUCCCCGAGCUCAACUUGGGACGUGCAUUUGAAACUGUGUUCCUUGAGUAUUGGAGAGGGUGGUGGAAUUGUUGGUGUAGGAGUGACAUCCGUAGAGAUCAGCAGGAACAUCAGAGGCGAAGGCGACCACCUGG